UACGAAGGGUGCAAACGUUGCUCGGAAUCAUUGGGCGUAAAGCGCACGUAGGCGGCUCCAAAAGUCGGAUGUGAAAUCCCUGGGCUCAACCGAGGAAGUGCAUCCGAAACUGCGGAGCUUGAGUAUGGAAGAGGGUCGCGGAAUUCCCGGUGUAGCGGUGAAAUGCGUAGAUAUCCGGAGGAACACCGGUGGCGAAGGCGGCUUCCUGGACCGACACUGACGCUGAGGCGCGAAAGCUAGGGGAGCAAACAGG
rnacentral:rRNA from 1 species